rnacentral:lncRNA from 1 species
CUGAGUCCCGCAUCUGCUUCUUAGAAGGUGAGGGGCACUGGCAGGCUGGGGAAGCUGGGCCGAGCAGGGAAAAUGGGUCCUGGGUGAGAGGGCAGCCUCGGUCAGAAGAGUUUCCUGGGCCAGGACUGGCCAUGGGGAAGGGUAGGGUUGGGACAAGAGUCGGGGGCCCUCUUCCCUCAUGGCUGCUCUUUCAGGUAUCUGGAGCAACCUGUAUGCAGCCAACCUCCAGGACAGCUUAUACUGGGCCUCAGAGCCCAGCCAGUUCUGGGACCACUGGGUCAGGAACCAGGCCAACCUGGACAAGGAGCAGGUCCCCCUUCUGAAGAUAGAAGAACCACCCUCAACAGCCGGCAGGAUAGCUGAGUUUUUCACCAAUCUUCUGACGUGGCGUCCACUGGCCCAGGCCACACAUAAUUUCCUGCGUGGCCUCCAUUUCCACAAAGACUACUUUCAGCAUCCUCACUUCUCCACAUGGAAAGGUACCUGCUUCUCUCCAAAGUCCUCCUGUGGCCACCUGAGCCUUGAGUCCCCAGUCCAGAUACCCCUCACGGUCCACUCCCAUUCUCCUGCUUUGAGCUUGAUUGCCUGGACUACUUGGAACAGGGGUCUUUUUCUCCUUGUCUUGGGGACCCAGGGCCCACCUGCGGGGCUGUGGGGGUGUUGGUUCAGCAGGGACCGGAGGCCAGAGUCUCUCCUUCCAGCAGGAAUCUGGUACCCUUGGUAUCUGUGACAAUUGCUGCUCUCCCCAACCUUCCAGCUACCACUCUGGAUGGGCUCCCCAACCAGCUGACACCCUCAGAGCCCCACUUGUGCCUGCUGGAUGUUGGCUACCUCCUCAAUACCAGCUGCCUGCCCCUCCUGCAGCCCACUCGGGACGUGGACCUCAUCCUGUCAUUGGACUACAACCUCCACGGAGCCUUCCAGGUUGGGAAGGGUGGGCAGCCCCCCAGGGAGGCGGUGGGUGGCCCCUGUCCCCUGAAGAGAGGGGCUUCGGAGUCCAGUGUCUGGUUCAGCUUCCUUUAGGAGCUGUGACUGGGACACUGGAAUCUUAAUUUGCCACCAGAGGAGCUCAUUCUUUUCCGGAAGUUGGGAAGCUGGCGAGGUUCUCCUGGUAUCUGGUAGCUGGGUCCCCUUUACUGACCUGCGAGGUGUGGUCCUGGGCCUCUGGGCCCACCUGCUGAGUCUGCUUUGGCUCCCAGUGUCAGAACUGGAAUGCUGGGAGUAACCCGGCUCCGUCUAGCCCCAGAGGAGCUGCCACCGAGGCCUGUCAGGCGUGGAGAGUUUUUUCCAACGACUGGCUUCGUAGGCCCCACUGGAGACCGUUUUGGCAUUUGAGCCCCAGGUCCUGUGCAUCUUACGUCAGCCCCAGUGUUGAGGAUGCCAGGGGCCCUGUCCCUCUGAAGCCCCUUCUGCCUGCCCUGCAGCAGUUGCAGCUCCUGGGCCGGUUCUGCC